GCUGGGGCCUUCUCAGUGGUUCUGUUGGCCUUGGCCGUCUCUCUCGUGAGUCACAUGUAAAUCAGUCUCCCUUAUAUCUAUAGCAGAUUUCUUGCCAGUGGCAGUGGUUUUAGGAUUCAGUUUGUAUAAACCUUCAAUUUUGUGAUUUGUUCGAGUAUAACAAAGUAAUCUGAUUGAUCACAGAUUGUGGGAUUUGUUUACUGUACUCUGCAUUGAUCAAAGAACCAUUCUUUUAAUAGGAUUUGGGGUUAAUCACUAAGCUAUUUUAGACAUAAGAAAACUAAUAUGUGUACUAACACCACUAUAAACAUAUUUAAAAAACUUCCAUCCCAAGAUAAGUAGUUAAGGAAUAAUCCAUGACAACUUUGACCCACCAAACUUUUCAAAAUUACAUUCCAACCUCUAACAUGUCCCUCGCGUGUCCGACUUAAGGUACAAAUCUUUGGCGUUUCCGUUCGUAGUUCGAUUGAAAUAAUGAAGUUUCAUAGCAACCUGCAAUGCUAAUCUAAACCCUACCGGCUACCGUUUCUGGUUCUUCUUAGAUGCUAUGUUGUCUUCAUCUUAUUUUCACAAAUUAUUUGCAGAAUUUGCAAAACUUACUUCUUUGGCACACCCUUGCAACUGGGAACUCAUCAACAGCACGCAAGUUCACAAUAAAAAUGUACAUGAAUAUUGGAGGAGCCAAAGAUAUAUAUGCAAAAUUGUUAUUUCCAAAAAUUGUACGUUACAUUCCAAAAACUAAAACUACGAACCUGGCCUUUUCAUUCGACCAACAAACUGGCUGGAUCUGAGCUCUGGUUGUGAGAAAAAUAACCCAUCCUCAAGAUUUUCAUGUAACUGUGCUUUACGCUUUCUGGUAGCUGCUUCCACAUUCUGACCUCCACCCUCAGAAUUCCACCGACUUCUAUGGGACUCAAAGGGAUCAUUAGCAAUAUCCACAGGAAAGAAUGAAAACUCCUUGUUUUGGUGGGGAGACAGAUUAGUGAACAUGAUCCCCUCCUGAGAACUGCUUACAUCAACUGUAGGAGUGUCAUGAGCCACAACUCUUCCCGGUUUGAUGCACGGUUCUUUAAACAACCCCAAACGUAACGAUAAGUCAAACCCC